CUCUAUCAAUUGAACAAUUUUUGGUGUUGUCCUGUACAUUUCCAAACAGCAAAGACUAGAAAUUCUGAUCUGGCUGUAGCCUAGCUGCAACCUAGAGUCAUUUUAAAGAGCUGGUAUUGUGGAAAACAAGGACAAAAAUUGCUUUGGGAUGAUGGCAGGGGUCACAUGUGCUUUAAAAUACCUCACUUCUAUCUCCUUGGUAGUUUUAAGUUAUUCAAACUUUUGAAAUCUGCAGUGGGAGCCCUUUUUUCAGUCUGAACUUUUUAAUGAGUCACACUCACUGUCAAAUCAAAUAUGCUGGAAGCUCUAGCACAAGACCACCAGCAGACUUAUGUACCCUUACGAAAAAGAAGUUUAUUCAAGUGUGCUAUUAGUAUACUUAUUUUAAACUAAAAAAAUAGGAAAGUAUACUUUUAGUUUACUUUUUAUGUACUUCUCAGAAAUGGGCUUUAUGUACUUCUAAGAUAUAUACUUAUAAUGACAAUUAAGUAUACUUGACUUAUACUUACAAAAAGUCAAAAUAUACUUGAACUUUACUUAAGUAUACUUAAUAAAAUAAACUUGAAGUAUACUACUUUUUGGUAAGGGUAGUCACAGUUUGAAUUUCAGCCAGAUGACAAGCAAAGCAGGACACUGGAUGUGUGCUAAAGCUAAAUUAGUGACCUCCAGCUAAAUCCAGUCAAUAAAAUGUCAGUACUUGGAUUAUGUAAAUUGAUGCAACUGUAUGUCGAUAAGCUUUUGCAGGGUUUUUCCUGCAUAGAGGCUGCAUUGUUCUGACUGGGCCUAAACACUCAGCUGGGAAGCUAGCGCAAAUGGGAAACAGGACUUCCUGUGGUUUUUCAUAAAAUAAAAGCCGCGACUCUGACUCUGUAGUAACGUAGCAACCAGGUUACAUUGCUGUCUCCAUCUCUCUCCUCUGUGAUCUGUCUCUGUCAAGCAGGUUGGACAAGACUCAACCCAGACCAACUACCUCAAGAAGACGAGGAGAACUUCAUUCUAAAUUUGGUGCCGUGUGGUUCACCAUCCAGGGAACCAGCACACCAGGCUCCACCCAUCCAGGAACCAGCACACCAGGCUCCACCCAUCCAAGAACCAGCACACCAGGUCUCAGCUGUGCAGCCACCACUGCGGGGUCCACAGCAAUGUAAAAGACUACAAAAAAUCAAAGGUGUGUUUUAGUCUAUGCACGGCAUGUAUUGUACAGACAUUUUACCCCUGCAUAAUUGACUUGAAGUUAAUGUGAUUUUUGUAAACCCUCCAAACAUUAUUGAUUUAUUAUGGAUCUGAUCCAGAAUUGCAAUUAUACUGUAUGCCUAGAUACUAUAUUAUUUUAUUGUUUUUUUAAAUAAGAAUUUAAUUGAUGGUUCUUUACACAUCCCUGCUUCAUGUAAUUAGAGAGCUGCAAAGUUAAAGUCCCAAUGUAAAGAAUACCAGUGUAAAAGAUAUCUGCCUUUGUGGCAAGCGAUGGAAAAUGUAAACAUCCCAUUAGGAAACACAACAUAAAGAAGGAAUGGCAAAAAAAAAGAUUUUGAAUAGAACCAUGUGCAGCCUUUGAUACUCCUGUAGUUCUCAAAUCUCACUAGGACAAGCUAAAUGUGCUAAUGACAAACAGUGGAAACAAUGCAUACAUGUGUGGAUUGUGAAUUGAUUCCUCCACAAAAAGUACAACACAUAUUGUGGACAUUGGUGCAAAUAAUAUAUUCCUUACAAUUACAGAUUGCCCUCACAGUCGGCUUGAAAUGUUCCCAGUCUGUGAAAUAAUAAAGACAAGGAAAAGAAAGGUAGGACAAUGACUAACUGGAUGAAAGUGUUUCCUCUCAAUUAGUUAAAUAAUGCUAAUGGAAUUGUCAUUUCAAAACCUUAAUUAAGUUAAAUUUCACUUUAAAUGCAGCAACAAAUAUGUGAUUAAGAACAAUGCUUUUAUCGCUUUUAUUAUUUAUUCAAAAAACAAACAUUACCCCUAAAGACACCCAGCUCCCUCCACCCUAAAAAAAUACAAAGGAAACGCUGGAUGACAUUCUAUGACUGUUGGAUAAAUUGUUUUGCAAUUACUUAAUG
rnacentral:lncRNA from 1 species